CAGACCUAAUAGACCCGGCCUUUCCUCUCUGCCUCUGGCUUUAUGUCUCUUUCAUCCUCCUCUGCCUUUCCCCUGCCCUUGAUCCCUUCUGCAGGUCUUGGCUGGUUUCAGGAAACAGGUCCCAUCCCAUGGACUCCCACUCUGGGGAGCCAGCGCUCCUGCCCUGUGGGACCUGUGACAUGGUUUUCCGCUCCUCAGCUCUGUUAGCCACCCACACUCAGCGCUUCUGCAUUGGCCACCCGACCCAAGAGAUGACAUUUGGAGCACAGGCAUCAGUUGCCACUGAACCCCAGCGGGCCGCGGUAAGGGCCUCCAUGGCCAUGGGUGGGGAUUCAAAGGAGCCAGGACCUUUAUGAUUCCUCAUCCUACUACACCGUAUCCCCAGGUUGUGCCACAAGAACACCAGGGCGUGCCACAAGAACCCCAGGGCCUCCCAGACCAGCAGGCCAGUAGAUCUGCUUUAAAGAGGUUAACAGAGGAGGUACAGCUACCUACCUUCCCCCCAGGGCUCAAAACGUUGAGCGUCUUCCCCAAACCUGUAGAUCAUACUUGGGACAGAUUCUGCCCACGCAGAGAUCGCGGAUCGCUGUUACCUCCAGGUGCAGUGGCUGCGGCUAUCCCUACAGGAAAUGCGGCCCUGGAUAACAGAGGUCCCCAGGGUGUUCGCGGGGCCCUGGACACGUUCCGAGGCGCGGCCUCAGAGUCCCAUGUCCGAGGCGGUGGGAAGCCCCAGCGAGCGGCUGCGGGCGCUGUUCAGGACUCGCGCGAGGCGCGUGGCGGAGAUGGAAGCGCAGAGCCGGGCCCUGCAGCUACGCGGCGAGGGUGAAGGAGAUGGGGGACGGGGACCAAGGACCUCCUCUGCCCUCGCCCUUUGGCUUAAGCUUGCUCGGGCCGGUUCUGACUCGGCCCGCAUUCCCUCAGAACUGAGCCGACGCCUCCAAGUUGUGGCCUGUACGCGGGGCGGGAUGUCCCGCCUCUUCGGCCUGGAGCAGGAGAUUCGAGAACUACAAGCUGAGGCCGGGAGGACGCGGGGAGCUCUAGAGGUGUUGGGGGCCCGCAUUCAGGAGCUGCAGGCGGAGCCAGGGAACCCUCUGCGCUCCCGGAGAGAGGCAGAACUUUAUUCUCCAGUGCUAAAGGCCAACCCGGGAACUCUGGCUGCCGAAAUCCGGGCGCUGCGGGAGGCCUACAUUCGAGACGGGGGCCGGGACCCCGGCGUGCUGGGCCAGAUAUGGCAGUUGCAGGUGGAGGCGUCUGCACUGGAGCUGCAGCGGUCGCAGACCCGCAGAGGAAGGGCAGGUGCCACCUCAGGGGAGCUUCCAGUAGUGGAGGCUGAAAACCGGCGCUUGGAGGCAGAAAUCUUGGCUUUGCAAAUGCAGAGGGGUCGGGCACCCUUGGGGCCCCAGGAUCUGCGACUCCUGGGGGAUGCCAGCCUACAACCGAAGGGGAGGAGAGAUCCCCCACUCCUCCCGCCACCGGUGGCACCACCACUGCCACCACUUCCAGGCUUCUCGGAGGUUCAGUUCUUGGGUGGGGCAAAGGCUGUGAGGACACGGGGUGGGUUGGGGGAACAGGUUGGAGGCAGCUCUGCUCUGAGCAGUUGGGGGAACAUGAGCAGCUACAAGGCUUUCUGGAGGAGUCAGCUCUCUUCCCCACAGCCACAGCUUCCUGGAACAAUGACCAGAAACCUGGGCCUGGACUCACACUUCCUCCUGCCCACAUCGGACAUGCUGGGCCCUGCACCCUAUGAUCCUGGGUGAGGCCCAUGCCACCUUCGACAGCCUCUGUGACUUGGCCAGCACUGCUGGUUAAGGGAGCCCACUAGGACCAGAUAGGGUUAGGGACCUGCCUGAGAGGAGGGAGGUUGAAAGGAGUUGGGUAUUUCUGUGCUAAGACUUGUGUUCCCCAGGGCUGGCCUGGUCAUUUUCUAUGAUUUCCUGCGGGGCCUUGAGGCUUCCUGGAUUUGGGUGCAACUAAGGACUGGCUUGGCACGCGAUGGACAGGAUACAGGAAGGACCACAGCGUUGCCCCCAGCCCUUUGCCUGCCCCCACCUCCUGCUCCCGGGCCCAUGGGCAACUGUGCCAUCCUUGCCAGCAGGCAGCCUGUGCCCAGGUCAGUAGGUGGGGAUCAUGACUCUGGUACUCUGCCACAAUUGAGGCUUAUCCACCAUUCUGCUAAGUUUUCUCAUCUGUAUACAGAGGCCGCUGGCUCUAAAGGGCUAAGUCCUAGGAAGGGACUGUAGCUCUGGCUUCCGACACUGCUUUUUGGUUAUUCUACAGACUACCACCCUCACCAUCAGUAUCUUUGGUCUGUGAGCUGCAGGUCUGGCAGGGGCUGGCAUGGGCUAGGGCACCACAGCCAAAGGCUUGGGUCUCACUUGGACUAUUUGACCAAGAUCAGCGGGUGCUAAGUGGCCGCUGGCGCCUCCCACUUCGGGCCCUUCCUCUGGACCCCAGCCUUAGCCUUGGGCAGCUGAAUGGGAUUCCUCAGGUGAGUGUGGUGCGCAGGGAUUGGGCAUACAGCAAAGUACAAGUGCAAUACCAUUUCAUCUCUCCCCAGGCAGGUCAGGCUGAGCUCUUUCUGCGGCUGGUGAAUGCAAGAGAUGCAGCUGUCCAGACACUGGCAGAGAUCAAUCCAGCAAGUGUCCAUGAGUACCAGUACCCACCUCCGGUGUCCAGCACAUCUUCACUGGAAGCCAACUUCCUCACCCCCACAGUUGGCUUUGCUGAUCCCCCACCUCGUACGGAAGAGCCCCUCAGUGGAGUCAAGGAUAGAGAUGAGGGUUUGGGCCCUCACCACAGUUCUGACUUGCCCCCAGUGAGUUUCUGAACCCAAGUGAAUGUGGAGAUGAGCAUCUGAACAUGCACAGGACUGGGGCCUAUUUCCAGACCUACAGCUUUACUACUCCAUGUUCUGACAUUGGGUCUAGAAGCAUCUAGCAGUUGAGUACAGAAAACCAGUUCCAACCACAGCUUUACCACCUCCCGUGAGUCCUUAACUUUUCUGUACCUCUUCUGUUUUUGUAAAACAGAUUAAGGAUUAAAUGAAUUUGUCAGGUA
rnacentral:sRNA from 1 species